rnacentral:rRNA from 1 species
GGCCUUUUGGAGAUUUAUAUAAAAGGUUGGGCCUGCCCGGUGAUCUGAAAUGGUUUAACGGCUGCGAUUGAAACCGUACUAAGGUAGCAUAAUAAUUUGCCCUUUAAUUGGGGGAGAGAAUGAAUGGUUUGACGGUAAAAAAGCUGUUUUAAAAAUAAAAAAAGAAGUUAACUUUUAAGUGAAAAGGCUUAAGUUUUUAUAAAAGACGAGAAGACCCCGUCGAGCUUAAUUAGAAUAACUUAAAUGUAGGUUAUUUAAAAUUUUAUUGGGGCAAUAGAAAAUGAAAUGAAUCAUUUUUUUUAUUAUAAGGAUCCAGUUUUGACUGAAAAAAGCAAAAGCUACCGCGGGGAUAACAGGGUAAUUUUUUCUGAGAGUUCAUAUUUAAGAAGAAGUUUGCUACCUCGAUGUUGGAUUAGAAUUUCUUUAUGCUUGCAGCAGGUAUAAUAGUAGGACUGUUCGUCCUUUAAAAUUUUACA